rnacentral:lncRNA from 1 species
GUAUUUCCGCGGGCGCUGAGCACUAGAGAGAGCGUCUUGUGGCUGCGGCCUGCCCCUCAGCCUCCUCCGCGCGGUUACCCCUGUACCCGCCGCCAUCCGUCCUGGCGCUCCGGAUGAGUCAAUGAGGGGCAGGGCCCGAGGAGUGGUCUUCCCAAGAACCCCUGGUGGCCUCCCAAGGCCGGUGCUGUGUACCUCCUCCCCGACAAAAGGGGAAACUGAGGCCCCGAGGGGAGUGGGAAGAGCCGGCUGGACGUCAGGCCCAGCCGCUGGUGCAGUGGUCCGUCCCCUCUGCCGGGGUGGGCCCCUCGGGUUUCGCGUGUCCUCGGGAAAGAGACUGGCGGCACCCUGAUCUGCACUCCCUGAGGGGCUCCCACUGUCCGCGGUGUGAGGAUGUCCCUGGAUAGUCCACUGUGUGCAGAGGCAUGGGAGUUGUCAUGUUGGGAACAUGCUAGACCUCAGUAUCCUUGAGGGAUGCUGCCUUGGGUCUGGAAACUGUUAGAGGAAACCCCAAGAGGUGCAGGCACUGAGCCUCUCAGGACAAUGACCUGGGGUCCCAGCUCCCCUGGAGGGGCCUCCUCAUGAUUGUUUGGGGGUUGAUCACAGACCAAGAGUGACGAGUGAUGUCACCCUGUGACUCAUGGCUGGACCUUCUUGCCCCUAUUGUCUCAGCACAACAUUAUUCGACUUUUCCCUCAGCGUGGGUGGGCAGAGGAAAAGCCCUGUGGCUCUGGGGACUUGGGAUCCAGAGUUGAAGACCCUUCAGCUGGCUCUGCCCUGCCAGUGCCACAGAGUGCCAUGGCCCAGGAAGACAGGUUUUCUUCCAUCUAGGCCAGGCCAUCCAGUGGCCAUCCUCCGUGUCCUCCCGCCUCCUCCUGGUGUGACUUCUGAAAACCAAGAAUUUGUUCCUGUUGACUUUUUCUGUGCUAUGGACCAUUGUCCUCUCACCCACUCAAUAAAUCUUGAAACAUGCC